rnacentral:tRNA from 1 species
GGCUCCAUAGCUCACUGAUUAGAGUGUUGGUCUUGUAAACUAGGGGUUGUGAGUUCAGUCCUGUCUGGGACCU